AUACACAAAACCAGUGUAGACACACAAGGCAUAUAGUGCUGACAUUCCUGCACCUAUUGCCAUUUCGGUUUUUCUGUUAUAAAUGAUGAAAAUUGGUGGAAAUUCGUUGUUAAAUUGUUGUGUGAUGUCGACGAAAAUAAUGAAAUCAAAUCAAUUCAAUUGGUAAUUUGCAAAUCAAUCAUCAAUGUCGAAUGAAAAGCAACGUUGCAAAGAUUCGAUUUAACUUAAAGGGGUUGAGAUGAAAAUAAAAAAAUAAAAGUGAAAAUAAAAAAAAACGUUGACUUGUAUCCAUUGUCAACGGAAUUGCCGGCAAAAAGUUUAACGGAAGAGCAGACCCGAAAAUGCAAAAAGAAAAUAAUGCGCCAGUUGAAAGCCAUCAAUAUGUUGGCCCGUAUCGAUUGGAAAAAACGCUGGGAAAAGGACAAACUGGUCUCGUUAAAUUGGGUGUCCAUUGCGUGCUGGGAAAAAAGGUGGCAAUCAAAAUAAUCAACAGGGAAAAGCUUAGUGAAUCUGUUCUAAUGAAGGUGGAGAGAGAAAUAGCAAUAAUGAAAUUAAUAGAUCAUCCACAUGUGCUUGGUCUGUCGGAUGUCUAUGAAAAUAAAAAGUAUCUCUAUUUGGUAUUGGAACAUGUUUCGGGUGGUGAACUAUUCGAUUAUUUAGUGAAAAAAGGGCGAUUAACACCGAAAGAAGCUAGGAAGUUCUUUAGGCAAAUUAUAUCUGCCUUGGAUUUUUGUCAUUCACAUUCCAUAUGUCAUAGAGAUUUGAAGCCAGAAAACCUUCUAUUGGAUGAAAAAAAUAACAUAAAAAUUGCCGAUUUUGGAAUGGCAAGUCUCCAGCCAGCUGGUUCAAUGUUAGAGACUUCAUGCGGAUCACCACAUUAUGCCUGCCCUGAAGUAAUACGGGGAGAAAAAUAUGAUGGUCGACGAGCUGAUGUUUGGUCAUGCGGUGUUAUACUGUACGCUUUAUUAGUAGGAGCUUUACCAUUUGAUGAUGACAAUUUAAGACAACUUUUGGAAAAAGUAAAACGCGGUGUAUUUCACAUACCGCACUUCGUACCACCGGAUUGUCAAAGUUUGUUACGUGGAAUGAUCGAAGUGAAUCCGGACAAACGAUUAAAUCUAACGGAAAUCAAUAAACAUCCUUGGGUGACGGCUGGUGGUAAGGGUGAACUGGAAUUGGAAUUGCCUAUGAUGGAUGUCGUUCAAACUCAUGUUAUACCGUCGGCAAUGUCCGUUGAUCCAGACGUUUUAAAUGCGAUAUGUUCAUUAGGAUGUUUUAAGGAGAAAGAAAGAUUGAUACAGGAGCUGUUAAGCCCUAACCACAAUACCGAAAAAGUGAUCUACUUUCUGUUGUUGGAGCGAAAACGAAGGCGUCCAGCCCUUGAAGAUGAUGACGAAGCAAUAAGGCCUCGAAAUGAUGUUGCAGAGACUGCAGACCCGCCUAAAAAACGUUUAGAUACUUGUAGAAUAAAUGGUCAGAACUGUUUGAAUUUCGGACAAAUCAGUGAAGGCUCACCAUUGACACCCCGUAGGCAAGCAUUCAACUUUCGUUCUUAUAGUAACACAAGGAAUCAUAACCGGAGAUCGCCUUCAUCAACACCAUCAGUACGGUCAGCAUCGUACCAUAGUCCAACGAGAAAUUCGGGUUUAAAUUCAUCGCAAACCUCUGGUAUCUCGAGGCCGUCUUCUCCAGCAUCGAUAAGGCAUUCUACACACUCGCCAUCACCGGUUAAUCGAACACCACACACAGCGACAAAUACUGAACAACAGUCAUCACCAGUUCAUCACAGAGCCAACUCCGGUCCGACAAUAGCAAUUUCACUGUUCGCUGAGCCGGAUAAUAGCAACAUAAUGACUCCACCGGGAUCUCCACAUAUGGGCGCACCUCCACCAGUUAUGACCGGAUCGACUUGUAGCAAUACCGGCGGUCAAAUAUGGAAAACGAGACUGACUAAUAUCAAAAAUAGUUUUCUAGGAAGUCCCAGGUUUCACCGAAGAAAGUUACAAGUUUCGUCGGAUGAAGUUCAUUUAACCCCAGACUCGUCGCCUGAACUAACAAAACGGUCCUGGUUCGGUAAUCUUAUGACAACGGAAAAGGACGAAACAUUUACUGUUCUAGUUAAAGGAAAACCUUUGUCAACUGUAAAAGCUCAUCUUAUUCAUGCUUUCCUAUCGAUGGCCGAGUUGUCACACAGUGUUAUUUCACCAAUGUCGUUUAGAGUUGAGUACAAAAGAAAUGGAACAGGUCCAGUGAUGUUUCAAAGACAUGUUAGAUUUCAAGUUGAUAUUAGUGCGAUAUGCAAACAGGGAGACGUGGCUGAUAUGCUUUUUGCAAUUACAUUUACAUUGCUCUCAGGAAAUAUAAGAAGAUUUAGAAGAAUAUGCGAACAUAUACAAUCUCAAGUGUGCUCGAAACGGUUCCCUGGUCCCAGUAGCCCACCAGGCUUACCGUCCGUAACAACAGCCGUCUCCGAAAGUUCCUCAUGUGGUUCAGAUUCCAGUGAAAGAAUAUCUUGCUACAAAAGACAAAUUGAAAAUGAAGUGGAUACUGAAGUAUUUGAAUGUAAGAGCGGUGGCAGAAGAUCGUCAGCUAGUACGAACAACAAUAAUACGGCACCAAGUGAUCCGGGCAGUCCUAAGACAGUGCGAUCGAGUUCGGAAUCUACUGACCAUGAGCGACAACGUGAUCGAAAUGGUGAACGGCCGACAACGAUGUCGGGUAGUGCAAUAGCAUGAGAGUUAUUUCUCUGAUUUAGUUGUCGAUUAAGCAAAAUAAUUGAGUUCAGAACAACUGGAUUGAGUCAGUCGGUAAUAAUUGAUACAGCAUCAGCGGCUAGUCACAAUUUCAUUCAAUCAUCAUCAGCUAAGCUUAAAACCAUUGAUUGUGGCAGUAGAUACGAAACAGCUAAUAAUUCCACAGCAAGUAUCACCAGUCGCGGGUUGGUACGCUACAGCGUUUUAAUAUUAGUGCCGUUAUCAGCAAUUGCAGCCGCAGUUUUCUGUAAAUGCAGCAAGAAUGGUGCCAGUGAUGUUUAAAUGAAAUUUUGUUUUUUGUUACUUGGUUCACUUAAAACUUUUUGUUUUGUCUUUGGUUUACCUAUUGGGAUGAAGUGAUAUUUUCUUACUUGACCGUUGAUAUCGUGAAAAGUGAGAAAUAACUCAGGUCUGGAUUGGGACGUGAUUCAUAUUAAAUUUGUGUGGACUAACCGGAACAACAGUUUCUGUCAAAUGAUAAAAUGAAACCAGAAAAUUCGCAUGUGAUAUAACAGAGAUCAACUUCAAAACUGAUGAACUAUGGUUAUAAGCGUUUCAAUGUAGCACAUUUAAAGUAACAAACAGUGAACAUAUAUUAUCUUACCAAAAAACAAAAACAAAUGGAACCAUCGGCUCACGACAAAAGUUAGAACCAUCACUAAUACAUAAAACUACAAUAAAACUGCUUCAUACACUAUCAUUAAAUAUUAUAUAUAUCUAGAAAGAGGAGAAAGAUAUGCCUAAAAUGGAAAACAAAAAACGUAUUUAUAAAAUGUAAUAUUUAUCUAUGGAACUAUCCAAACUAUAAACUAAACCCAGAAACAAAUUAAAUAUUCGUAUCUUGCUGAAUUGCUACACAUUAUGUUUUACGAUUUACAUGGGAAAAAAAGUAUUAAAGAAAAGAAUCUGACAUCGAAAUCCAGCACAAAUUUGUACAAUCCAAAAAUGUUGAUUCUGUAUCGACAUCGUCGAAAAUAUUUGUCGAUAAGAUUACGGAUACUUCUACUUAGACAUAUUGUCGGUUAGCCAAGACAGUUUUAUCAUUUCAAUAAAAAUGCAAAUUUGAUUGUGAAAUGUUGAUGGCGAUUCAUGGGCUAAGGGCUAUGCAUAAAAUUAUUACUGACUCAGCGUUUGGAAUAGAGAAAUGAACCUCUCCGAAUGGACAUUACUUAAUAGAAUCAAAUUUCUGACCUAUUAAUUUUCGAUAUCCUGGGAUGGUGGUUCGUAUACGAGACCAAGAAAAUGUAAAAUGUUGAUUUAUACACAUAACUUAUUAACAUCAACUCUGAUUGAAUUUUUAGAUGAAAUUCGGUUAAAUUAUCAUAUGAUUGACUUAUAAUUUCCCAUUUAAAUGGAAAUAAUCGGAAGCUAAAGCUGGUCGAUGGAAAUUUUACUUGUGGCGUCCAAUUCUAAAGACUUUUUUUUAAAUUGCUUUUAAAAAAAUAUGAUAAGUCCGGGCUUGUAUUACAAAAGUGCGUUCACAUGUAUGUCAAAACAUUUAGAAAGUAAUUAAAUUGAAAAACAAUUACCCAGAGUGAAAUAAGAUUCGCAAAAUUUUCCCCCCAUUUUUAAUUAUAUCGAUACCAAAGUCGUUACUUUUGGACAAACUAUAAACUUUAUUGAACUGUAUAAUUUGUAUAUAAUCUAAUCUCGUCAUUUAAUCGUUAUAAAUAUAUUCUUCGCAUUGAAAAAAGGUUUGUAUUUUUCAUUCAAGAAAAAAUGAUACUAAAUUGGCGUUAUUGUUAUCAGUUUAGUAUAUAUCUGUCUGAACAAAGGAAAAAAAACAAAAAAAAAAACAAAACGAAAUAGCAAAGCACUAAUUAAUAAAUAGAUACGCUAAAUUAAUAGACAUUCUAUCAACCAGAUGAAAAGGGAUAGCUAUAUAUUUUCUGUGUGAGAGAAAGAGAGACAGGUGAAAAAUAAAAUGGAAAACCUAAAAGAAAAAUACUCAAUCUUGUAUUCUGCUUUUUGUGAAAACUUCAUAAGGAAAAUUAUUAUAAAUUAAUUAAUUAUCAUUAAAAUUACUAUCACACAUAAUCUAUAUAUAUUACUAAAAUAUAUAUUUAUAAACAAAACAAGACAAGACAAACAAAAAAAUACUCAUAAAUAUAAAUUUAAAGUAUAUAUUUAAAUGUUCAAACACACCAAAGAAUAAAAAAAGAAGAAAAAGAAGGAGAAAAAUUGAAAAAGAUGAAAAAAAUUACGAAAAAAAAAACUAAAAAUUUUUUGCUUAUACCAAAUCGUUUUCUCCCAAUUUAGUUGUUGUUGUAAUGUUGUGUUUUCCUUAGAUAAACUGAAUCGCUUCACUUUUUUCCUUGUUAGAACUAUCAGUUAAGAAAACUAUACCUUAGGAACAUAUUAAGCUCAUCAUUUUCUUUAAAAAAUUGUUUUCGAAAAAUAUUUAUAUCAAUUCUUUACACUUGAAAUGUAUACCCCUUAUGUUUCAAAAAAAUAAUAAUAAUAAAUUACGAAAUGAAAGAAAGGAAAAAGGAAGAAAAAAUAAAGACAUAAUUAAGUGAAUAUCAAAAGUGGUGCCAUCAGCCUCUUGUUUGUAUUUAAAAAUUUCGAAUUAUUCAUUUUAUUGUUUUCUGGAAUAUUUCCUUUGUAUCAUUAUUUGUAGUUAAGUUAAUGUUAAAUACAUUAUAUUGUAUGAAUGACGACGGGAAAUGAAAGACAAUUUUUGUAAAAUAGUUAGUAAUUAUAAUUAUAAAUACAAAAGACAAAAAUUAUAAACGAUUUACGA